UCCAAAAAAAAUCAUUAAAAAAGUUUCGGACUCCUCAAAUCGCACCACUUGACAACUUUGGGCAGCUUUUCGGACUGCAAAUGGAAACUCCAUCACCAUGAAUGAACUUUGCCUGGGUUUGGAGGUUCAACAUUUCCCCUGCAUUUCUAUUUCCGUCGCGUACUUCUACUCCCAUUCAUGAUAAUGUCUCUUGGUUUACUUUGGUGGAGGCGUUAAGGAACGAAACUGAGGUCAUGUCACUUUCUUCCACUCAGCCCAUCUGUACACAGCGUUCGUCCAUUCAAUUUCUGUUCUUUGUGUGGCUCAUUUGCCCUUUUGAUUGAAGGAUCGAUUUGCUAGAGAUAUGUCAUAAAUACGUGUAGUAACAUCAAUCCUUGAUUCUCAACUAAGUAUUUCCGAAGACUGAAAAGCACAUGAUUAUGAGCUUUGGCUGCCUCUUUUGAUAUCCACCAGCCACAGCCGCUAUAUACGCUGCCGGGAUGACUGCAAAUUCAGUUGCUGGGAUUGGUGAGAUGAUCCUUGUAAGUUAGAUUACCACAAUACAGAAGUUCAUGCAAUAGGCAUCCGUUACAUUGCAAUGAGUCCAAGUCACCCUAAUAUCUUGCUGACCAGUAGCUAUUAUGAAGAUCUAAGGGUUUGAGACAUGAGAUCCAUUGCAAAACCUGUACAUAAGACAUUAGUCCCAUUGGGAGGAGUUCAGAGAAUAAGAUAUCAUCUACUGUAUUGGACCUAGUCUUGACGACUUGUAUUCACAAAGAUCUGCAGUUGUCUAAGUUAAAGAUGAUAAAGCUGAAGUCAUGGAAACCUGUGACAAAUGCGGUGUCUGGCAUGUUGACCAGAUUGACUAAGAGGCUCUUUAGGUAUGGAAGGAAAGAGGGAAGAAUAUUUUAUUAACGCCUCCUUUGCAUGUGUUUGCCAGAAGGUUAACGACCUCUUGGUCUGGGAUAUGCUUCUUAGGAGUCAGGAACACGCAAGUUAUGAAAUAGUAAUUAAUACUUUUUUGGGGGAUGGGGGUGUUUUGAGUUUCUGCCCACUGUUUUAUGCAUAUUGAUCUCAUCUUCAUGAUGUUCCCACCUUGUAUCUCUGCUAGAGAGAGAAUUUCUGGUUAUUUUGAAUGGCUCAUUCGUAACAGACAAUUAGUGUGUACUUUUGUGAGUGAAUUCACAUAAACUUGUAUCCAUUAAAGCUGCAGUAGUAAAUAGCAAGACAAGUACAACAAUAGAAUUGGCUCUGUUCUGUUCGUAUCCAUUUGUGUGUUGAAAUUAUGGACGUCCUGCAUCUUGUAGUAUAA